rnacentral:rRNA from 1 species
GAUGAACGCUGGCGGCGUGCCUAAUACAUGCAAGUCGAACGCUUCACUUCGGUGAAGAGUGGCGAACGGGUGAGUAAUACAUAAGUAACCUGGCAUCUACAGGGGGAUAACUGAUGGAAACGUCAGCUAAGACCGCAUAGGUGUAGAGAUCGCAUGAACUCUAUAUGAAAAGUGCUACGGGACUGGUAGAUGAUGGACUUAUGGCGCAUUAGCUUGUUGGUAGGGUAACGGCCUACCAAGGCGACGAUGCGUAGCCGACCUGAGAGGGUGACCGGCCACACUGGGACUGAGACACGGCCCAGGCUCCUACGGGAGGCAGCAGUAGGGAAUUUUCGGCAAUGGGGGAAACCCUGACCGAGCAACGCCGCGUGAAGGAAGAAGUAAUUCGUUAUGUAAACUUCUGUCAUAGAGGAAGAACGGUGGAUAUAGGGAAUGAUAUCCAAGUGACGGUACUCUAUAAGAAAGCCACGGCUAACUACGUG